rnacentral:misc_RNA from 1 species
AACGCAAAUUGCACUCUCUGGUAUUCCGGGGAGUAUGCCUGUUUGAGGGUCAGUUUAAAUAAAAAUCGAGGUGUCGUUUUUUUGCGACGUCAUCGGAAUUGGGUUUAUCUUUUAUCCGAUCUUUUUUUGGAUUUAAGAGACCUAAAAUUGAUACCUUGUGCAUCUCAAGACGUACAUAAGAAUAUUUUUUUUUUUUAUCCGUCCGGAGUGCCCAAUUUAUUAGGUAUGACCAUUUCUGGCAUCGUGCCUAUAACAUAACUCAUAUUUUGACCUCAAAUCAGGUAGGAGUACCCGCUGAACUUAA